GAUCAUGGCUCAGGAUGAACGCUGGCGGCGUGCUUAACACAUGCAAGUCGAACGAAGCACUUUAUUUGAUUUCUUCGGAAUGAAGAUUUUGUGACUGAGUGGCGGACGGGUGAGUAACGCGUGGGUAACCUGCCCCAUACAGGGGGAUAACAGUUGGAAACGACUGCUAAUACCGCAUAAGCGCACAGGGUCGCAUGACCUGGUGCGAAAAACUCCGGUGGUAUGAGAUGGACCCGCGU
rnacentral:rRNA from 1 species